rnacentral:rRNA from 1 species
AUUGAACGCUGGCGGCAUGCUUUACACAUGCAAGUCGAACGGCAGCGCGGGCUUCGGCCUGGCGGCGAGAGGCGAACGGGUGAGUAAUACAUCGGAACGUGCCCAGUAGUGGGGGAUAGCUCGGCGAAAGCCGGAUUAAUACCGCAUACGACCUGAGGGUGAAAGCGGGGGAUCUUCGGACCUCGCGCUAUUGGAGCGGCCGAUGGCAGAUUAGCUAGUUGGUGGGGUAAAGGCCUACCAAGGCGACGAUCUGUAGCUGGUCUGAGAGGACGACCAGCCACACUGGGACUGAGACACGGCCCAGACUCCUACGGGAGGCAGCAGUGGGGAAUUUUGGACAAUGGGCGAAAGCCUGAUCCAGCAAUGCCGCGUGUGUGAUGAAGGCCUUCGGGUUGUAAAGCACUUUUGGCGGGAACGAAAAGGACUGUGCCAAUACCACGGUUCGAUGACGGUACCCGCAGAAUAAGCACCGGCUAACUACGUG